ACUAAACAAUAAACCCAAACCACACAAAAACAUUGGAUUCAAGUCCCCUCGGUAAAAAUAUAAUAAUGUACCCAUAGCCCAAAAAAUGCAAUGAAACUUUUUACGAUCUGUCUUUGACUAUUAGUUUGCAGAAAAAAGCAUCUGCACAGAAAGACUUCUGGUUCCCCUGAAAAGACUGAAAAAAUCCAAUAAUACCACAAAGGACUUUCCAGACAAACAUUGAGAGUUUAAAAAUAAAAAAAAACCCCGAAUUGGUCAUUAAAAUAAUAUAGGUGAAACGACGUAUUCGUAUGCUCCUUGCUAUCAUCUUUGACUAGCUCCUCUAGUCGUCUCCCUUAACAACACCAACCUUGGCAGGACGAAUAACUCUUCCAUUCAAUUGAAAACCCUUGCUUUCGCAAUGGAAGACAGUGUUGGGCUUUUUACCUUCAACAGGGAUUUGGAAAACAGCUUCAUGGAUGUUAGGAUCAAAAUCUUCUCCGAUACCGUCAUAGCGAACUAAACCAUAUUUUCCUAAGGUUUUCAUUAAGUUCGAUUCAGUCAUUGCUAAACCUUCAUAAAGAUCAACUAAAUCCUUGUUGGACUCACGAUUGUUACGCUUCUCCUCUGGAACAAUUGAAAGAGCACGCUCCAAAUUAUCGACAGAAUCCAAAAGAUCCUUAGUAAGCUUUUGAACAGCAAAUGCACGUGUUUGCUCCAUGUCUCUCUUCAUGCGGUUUUCCAAAUUACGAUAGUCAGCUAAGCUUUGGCGAAUGCUACCCUUUAACUCCGCAACCUCUUUGUCCUUUGCUUCAUAUUUACUUUUAAGCUCAGAAAGCUUAGAUUGAAGUUCCUUAACAUCAACAUUCUCUGUUUCGGCAACUUUUUCUUCAGCAGGCUUUUCUUCCUUAGCAGCCUCAGUUGAGUACCAAAGGAAACUGCGUUUAUUAAUGGGUGCUCGAAUAAGCGUCCGAGGACGUACAGCGGAUGAAAAUACUCUUCCAAGCCCAAGCAUUGUUUCAGUGAGAGCUUUGUGGUAAAAGACAACUGUGUCACACUAUAGACAAAUGGUGUUGUGAACUUAGCACUGUUAAAUUUUACAAAUAUCAAUUUCAUCAACUUAAAAAUUCGUUAUGUUUCGUUAAAUGAGGUAUGGACUUUGAGAUGGAAGCUGAUUCAAAAAAUAUAUAAAUGACACUUUUUUCUCAAAUUAAAGCUUCUAUUUCGAUAUGUAACAAAUUGAUUGUAGGUUUGAACAUGCAUGUAGGAAAGCAACCCAAAUUUCGAAUUUGCUCAACACUGGAAGCCAACAACGGCUCAUAUGCUUAUCAAUUAUUAAUUUAUUCUUUUCAGCUUCAUUCUCAACAGAUAAUAAUUAACUGAUUUCUCAUCUAUAUUUAUAUCCUUCUUGGUAUGCUUUACGGCAUUGGAUUAUAUCGAAGUACUUACUUCGCAGCCUUUGAAAGUAAAAUAAUUGAAUAUUAUAAUUUAAGUUUUAAAAUAAUCCUAUUUGUGUCAUCUGGGCCAUCUUAUUAUUUUUACAUUCAUCAGUUUAUUUGCAUAAUGAUAUUUGUUGAACAAUUUAUGGGA
rnacentral:lncRNA from 1 species